UAUUCAUUAUUUUGAAAGAUACGUUGAAAUUUUCUUGUAAUCUUUAUUUUAUUUUCAUUGUUUUCGUAUAUAACCUUAAAUCACAAAACUAAAAAAUAAAAAUGGAAUAAAUAACAUUGAAUGAAAACGAAAUAUAGUGUUGAUAAUAAAAAUAUUGAAUAUAUGAAUCAAAAUGAAAUAAGUAAAUGCAAAAAGUUAGAUCGAAAUAUAAAAAAAGAUAGUCAAGUUAUGGAAGUAGUGGGGGUAGAUGCAGCGAGACAAGGGCUGACGCGCGGUAAUUGAGAAUCGUUAACGCGUCCUCGAGAGAGAUUGAGCGACUGGAUUUUGCUAGGUCCUCUUUUACUCUCCGCAGCCGUUACCAUCAGCUUGUCUCCCUCUUUUCGUCUCGGCUUCCUAGCCACUAUGCUGAUGACCUUCAACCGUUCAAGAGGGGAUGGACCUCGUUGGCUAGCGGGCCGAGGUAUAAGGUCAAGGUUGCUGUAGUCGGUGUGCACGGGAUAUGCGACCUCCAAAUGCAUCGAGCGAGAUGCGUGCGCAAUUGACGCAUGCGCACCAUGAGCCGGCUUGUCGUGCGUCGCAGCGUGUCGCGCAAGUCAUUGCCAAGGUCUUCUCUGGUCACGGGCAAACCGUUAUAAGUAGCGAUGGGCACGAACUGAAAUGUAAUUUUUAGACUGUAUUAUUAAAGAUCUAUGUAUAUCAUUAGAUGCUUUUAGGAUGUUAUUAAUUUAAAUAUUGACGAUUUUAAAAAAUUAUGAAUCUGCAUUGAAUAAUUUACAUCCUACAUGAUGUUGAAAUCUUCUAUGAAUGAAAUUAUUAAAAGAACAUAGAAGAAAGGGAAUACGUGAUAAUAGGAAGAAUAUUUGAAAAAUUAACGUUAACCGUUGAGAGUGGCCAUCUUGAAAUUUGUAUUGCAUUUGUAUUUCUUUAACACGUUAUAUAUUCAAUUUGUUUCGAUUUGAUAUUAGAUUAUGAGAAUUUCGGUUCCAUCGCUAGUCAUAAGUUGCCGGUUGAGACUGAUGCAAGGUCGUCGACGAUUGUUUCAGGAAAAAGAAAAACUAAUUGUAAAUAUCAUUUUGUAUUAAGA
rnacentral:lncRNA from 1 species